rnacentral:rRNA from 1 species
UACGAAGGGUGCAAGCGUUACUCGGAAUUACUGGGCGUAAAGCGUGCGCAGGCGGUUUUGUAAGCCAGAUGUGAAAUCCCCGGGCUUAACCUGGGAAUGGCAUUUGGGACUGCAAGGCUGGAGUUUGGCAGAGGAGACUGGAAUUCCUGGUGUAGCAGUGAAAUGCGUAGAUAUCAGGAGGAAUACCGAUGGCGAGGGCAGGUCUCUGGGCUGAAACUGACGCUCAUGCACGAAAGCGUGGG